UUCUUAUAGGAGUGUGUAGAUAAAUACUUAAAAUAUAAGAUAAAUAUGAUUUGAUUAUGUAAAGGAGAAAUUAAGGACACAAUUCGGCCACUCACUCACUGCAAGUCUCUCUGAAACUCAACCUGGUUCGUCGAUGUUGAUCUCUAUCUCUCUCGCUCGCUACCGCACCUGUCUCACUCGCGUUUCUUCGUCUUCUCUCCCAAUCUCAUUUGUGAGUUUCCUUCAGUUGUUCUGCUGAAGGUGAAAGGGGCGAUGAUUACAAAGAGAGAUGAUGUCUUAUGUGGGAAAUAAUACCCAAUUCCAUCCAUCCAUCGCAAAUUCUAUGUUGGGAAAUAAAGAGCAAUUUUCUAAGUCAGAAGUUGAAGGUGCCGCUAUACCCUUUUCACCAAAGGGCUUUUGGCUUUGGCAUCUUCAGAUUCUGUCUUCUUCUUCUCUCUCUCUCUCUCAUUGUCAUUUCAAAUUGAAUUCGGGUUGUUUCUUACAGUGAUAGAUUUAUCAAAAUUUACACUUCACAUGAGCCCUUCACACUAUGAUUUUCCAUUGUUAUGAUGAUUUUAGCUUAUUAUUUUAAAAAUAUCUGUUUUGUUAAGGGUUCUUGUUUUUUUGUUUCAAUUUUCCCCAAUCUAAUUAAACUGAACUGUUUGACACUAGCGUCUGUGGUUUUUUCAUACAUGAUUAAUUGACAAAUUGGAUUAUUCAAGCAUGAAAACCAUAGUGUUAUCUGUUGAAUCGAGUUUAAUUAGGUUGUUGAAGAUCGAAUCAAACCAAUCAACCACUAAUGUCAUUUGUUGUAAAUUUGGUGGGAAAAGCUUGAUUAUAGUUUUGUUUGUUUCAAUUUUCCCGAACAUAAUCAAACCCGUUUGACAGGACGGUUUGUGAUUUCCAUGUUCGAUUAAUUGACAUAUUGGAUUAAUCAAGCAUGAAAAUCACAUUCAUAUUCUUAAAAGUGGAUUGGUUAGGUUCUUGAAGAACGAAUCAAACUAAUCAACCCACUAAAAUGGUUUUAUGGUUAUUUUUGUAAUUAAGUAGCGGCAGCUGUACAAAUGGAAUCCACAAAUGCUGAGUUUUGUUGCAAUUAAGUAGCGGCAGCUAGACAAAAGGAAUCCACAAAUGCUGAGUUUUUUUUGUCUCAUCAUUCUAUUAAUUUCAUUUCACAUUCUUUUUUAUUUGUUUGUAUCUGCUAUUUAAAUUUAGUUGUUGUGUACGUCUUAUUUUGAUAGAAAAUUUGGGGUUUUUUAAUAAUAAAACAUAAAGUAAUAUGAAUAUGGAUAAGGUGUAAGGAAUCAAUUUAUUGCAUUUUCACUUUUUUUUGUUCUCUUUUAAUAAUUUGAUAAAAGUUAUGAGCUUUCACUCUUGUGUAUUAAUCAAUACUAAGGUAUGAGGGGAUGGUAUAAAAUUGCAUGUUUUUUUAGGCAUAGAAUUGCAUGUUAAGUAUUGAUCCUAAGAAUUUGAUGAGACUUGAUGACAUUGAUGAACCGUUACAGUGUGAACUUGCACUAAUAUGUGAACGGUGAAAGUGUCAGCAUCAGUUGUGCCCUUCAAUUCUUUUUUUUGAAGUUCUAUAAGCAAGUUAUCACAUAUAUAUUUGCUAUUAAAUGCGUAGCAAGUUCAAUAAUUUCAAUGUAGUACUUUAUAUGAAAUGUGAAGACAGUAAAUAAAUCUUAAAAGUAAAGUGUACAAACCAGAUUCUAUACAAAAAAAAGUAUACAAACCAAAUACUGUAAAUAUCAUUUUUCUGUAUUAUAAUUUGUAGUUUAAUCCUCAAUUAGUUGCUCUUAAAGAUGAGUCUCUAGAAAGAUUAAGGAGUCAUUGAAGUGUGAUACCUUUAUAUGUCUCAAUUUUGUUUUUUGAGCCAAUUGUUUUCAGAUAAUGUUUUUGCUCGUCACUCCUAUGUAGCAACUAUGGUUACAAUACAAGAAUAGUUUGUUGUGCCGAAUUUAACCUGAAUCAUGUCUCUUUUAUUCAAGAAUGGUUUGUUCAUUGCUUUCAGCUGUUUUGCUGAAGGUGAAAAGAAAGGGGCGAUGAUUAUAAUGAGAGAGGCCUAACUUCUAUCAGAUUUAGGAUUUGCUCCAUUUAUCAAUAUCAACAAAAAAAGAGAAGAAAAUGAAAACAAAGAAGGUCUGAACUUGAAGGUUGUGAUUGGGCAGCAGCCAAACAACUUUAGAGAUGGAAUUCUCAUAUACUUGAAAAUUUGGGGUUUUAUAAUAAGGAAGAAGAGAUAAAGUAGCAUGCAUAUGGAUAUGGUGUUUGGAAUCAAUUUGCUGCAUUUGCACUCUUGUUCUCUUUUAGUAAUUUGAUACAAGUUAAGAGCUGUUAUGCUUGUAUAUUAAUCAAUACUGAGGUAUGUGGGGAUGGUAUAAAAUUGCAUGUUUUUAAGGCGUAGAAUUGCAUGUUAAGUAUUGAUCCUGAGAAUUUGGUGAGACUGAUAUUGAUGAGCCAUUACAGUGUUAUCUUGGAGUAAUUGUUAGCCGGAGCAUGCAGCGGUGAAAGUGUCCGCUUCAGAAAUGUUUAUACCUAACUUCUUCGAAGUUGAAUGCAACCACAAUCUUAGAGUAAUAAUUAGCCAUACCUAAUGUUUAUACCUAUAUUUACCUUUUUGUUUACAUUUUUUGAAUCACUUCAAAUUCGGAAGUGAACAUUGAAUUGAGACAUUUGUGGAGUCUUAAUUAAGACUGUUCAGUUACUCCCUUCUAUUCAAUAUUUUUGAAGUUAUAUAAGGAAGUUAUCACAGAUACACUUGAUAUUAAAGGUCUAGCAAGUUCAACGAUUUCAAUGUAGUACUAGAUAUGAAGUAUGAAUACAGACUAAAUAAGUCUUGGAGUAAAGUGACCAAAUAUAUCUCAUUUUUCAGUAUUAUAAUUUAUUAGAGUUUAAUCCUCAAAUAGUUGGGCUUAGAGACGAGUCUCUAGAAUGGAUGAAGUAAAAAUAGGUUUUGGCUGAUGUGGGAUACAAAUCCGAAUUAUUCCUUGAUAGCAAGAGAAGGAGUCUAUGGAGUAGGAUCAUAGUAGUCAAUCCCAGAUAGUGGUGCGUAGUGGUAUGGCAAAUAGCGGUCACCAAUAUUUGAUUAUUUUUUUGUACAAAUUACAUGAAUAAUACUAUAAAGUAUUAAAACACUUAUAUUUAAUAUAAAAUUAAAUAUAACACUCAGAUCUCAUGAAACAUUCAUAAAUCAAAACACCAAAAAAACAAGACAGAGGAACAAAUAAAAAAAAUCAUAAAACAAAAGAAAACAGAGGAAGAAAAAAGAACAGAGAAAGAGAGAAGAGAUCCCCAGGUCAUGUUUUCCAGUUGGAAGAUAGAAGAGUGUGUUUUGCGUCUAAAGUGGUAUUACUGAACCAGAGCCCUCAAAAAGGUUUUAAAAAUAUGGUCAAUUUGGAAAUUUCCUACUAAAAUCAAAUAGCGGGUGAAGCGGCCACUAUCUGCUAUGCUCCGUUCUGCUGCUAUAGCAGCUGAAGUGGCCGCCAUUUGAUUCCCUACGACGAUUACCGUAGCGGUUUGUCGCCGCUACGCGCGGCCGCUAUUGACUACUCUGCCUUUAUUUGUCUCCGAUUUGUUUGUGGAACCAAUUGUGUUUCCAGAUACUGUUUUUGCUCGUCUCCCGGAUGCAUCAACUAUGGUUACAGUAUAGAAUAGUUUGUUGUGCAGAAUUUAGCUUGAAUCGUGUCUCUUUUAUUCAAUCAUAACCAAUGUAUUCUUUUUAACAUGUAUUUAUAGUUUAUACUGUCAUCCGCAAACAAGAAAUUUUGUAUAUUGUGAGCAAGUCUUACAUGGAUACAUGAUUCAUUAUUCAUUGCUUUCAGCUGUUUUGCUGAAAGUAGAAAAAUGGGGCAAUGAUUACAAUGAGAGAGAGGUCUUUAGUGGGAAAUACCCAAUUUAUUCAGAAAAUCAUAACCCAACUUCUAUCAGAGUUAGGAUCCUCUCCAUUUAUCAAUAUCAACAAAAAAAUGAAAUGAAAAUGAAAAGUAGUGACCACUGAAAAAGCACGUUAAGGAUUCAGUGCGGACAGAAAAAGCUUGAUUAUAGCUACUUCUUGUUUUCUGACGAACAUGUUUUUCAGAAUAUGGUGGAUUUGUUGUAAUUGGGCAGCGGCCAGACAACCGUAGAGAUGGAAUCCACAGAUGUUGAGUUUUUUCUUGUCUCACACUUCUACUAAUUCCAUCUCACAUUUUUUUCUUAUUUGUUAUCUGCUGGUUAGAUUUAAUUGUUCACUUGGAUUUGAUAUUAUUAAUAUUGACAUAACUAUUGGGGUUUAAUAAAAAGGAAGAAGACAUAAAGUAUCAUGGAAUCAAUUUGCUGCUUUUGCAUUUGCACUCUUUUUUUUUUUCUUCCCCCUUCUUUUAAUUUGAUAAAAAUUAAUAGCGUUCACAUUUUUAUAUUAAUCAAAAUACUGAAGAAAGUUAUGCGAAGAUGGUAUAGAAAGGCGUUCUAAGUUAAGUUGUUUCGCACAUGUGCAAUCAUAGUGUUAACUUAAGAAAUGUUUAUGCCAUCUCUUACAUUGAGCUUUUAUUUACGUUUGGUCAUUCAGUUCAAAUUGUGAAGCGAACAUUGAAUUGAAAUGCUUGUAGAUGCCUAAUUAAGAUUGUGCGAUCACCCCCUUCAAUUCAAUGUUUUUUGAGUAAUAAAAGUAAGUUAUCACGAGUAUACUUACUAUUGAUGGUGUAGCAACUUCAGUAGUUUCAAUGCAGCAGAUAUAUGAAUAAUAAUUUAAAAAAAUUCUUUAGAGGAAAGACCAAAUAAAUCUCAAUUUUUAGUAUUGGUGAGGAGGUGAGCUGGAAGCAUAUUGCAGAGGUUGCUUUGUUUGCAAUAAUUAACUGCUUGGUUAGAAAACAGUAGAUGAAGAUGCUGUCAUUUUUAUACAAAUGAUGUUAUAGGAAUCUGAUAUAUAAUAUAGAGGUAGAGUGCUGUAAUAUAUCCUGAGUAAACUGAUUGAUCAGGAGUUUGAUUGUACUAUUUGUCUACUUAUGGCAUAUUAUACAAGUAGCGAUUAAUAAAAUUUUGUUUGUUCAAUUUCUGUUUGACUCUGAUUGGGUUUUCUAGCCAAUGGUGCUUUGGAAUAAAAAAAUUCAGGUUGGUAGUCACCCUUGUGCAGCAACUAUGGUUUUAUGAAUAGUUGCUUCAAUGGAUUUUUUUGUGUGGAACAGUGCUAGUACCCGUGUUGAUUUUUUUUUUUAUUGGAGAGAAAUUAGGAUGUGGUUUUGCAAUGUUUUGUUAAAAAAUUAAAAUGAUAAAAGGAGGAUGAAGCUGAAGGGAGAGCUGCAAACUUGUGUUCAUUGUGGGAGUUCUAUAUAAGCGUGGGUUAUAUUCACUGUUCUUUGUCUUCAGCUAUUUUGCUGAAUGUAGAAAGAAAAGGGCUAUGAUUACAAUGAGAGAGGCUUUAGUGGGAAAUACCAAUUCAAUCAGAAAAUCAGAAUCUCGCCUGAAAUUGGCUCUAACUUCUUUCAAAAUCCAAAAAAAAAAAAAAAAAAACUAAGAAAUUCUGAAGUUGAAGGUGCCGCCUCAGUACCCUUUUCAUCAAAAGGGGGUUUGCGUUUGGUAUCUCAGUUUCUGUCUUCGUCUUCUUUCUCCUCUUCCUCUUUCUCUUUCCGUCCCUUCAAAUUGGAUUGGGUUUUUUCCUACAGUGGCAGAGCUUUCAUAAUUUAUCCUUGAUAUGAGCCCCUCAACCUUCUGAUUUUCUUCUGAGUAUUAGUUUAUUUAGUUAUUUUUCGUAUAAAAAAAAUGUUCUUUUAUUGUUAGAUUUUAUUUUCAUUGAUUUUAUUGUGGAUGGAGAAACAGUUUUGUUGUUUUUUUUAAGUUUCAGUGCCUGCAGAAAAAGCAUGAAUAUAGCUACUACAUGUUUUUUAGAAACAAUAUGGUGGGAUUUGUUGUAAUAGGGCAGCAGCCCGACAACCGUGGAGAUGGAAUCCACAGAUGCUGGGUUUUUUCCUACAGUGACAGAUCUUUCUAAAUUUACACUUGAUAUGAGCCCCUCAACCUUCUUAUUUUCAAUUUUUGUGACUAUUAACUUUUUGUUUUAAAAAUUUGUUUUGUUCAGAAAUAAUUUUAUUUUGCAUGAGAAACAUUUUUGUUGUUUUCUCGUUGAAGAUUUAGUGCGGACAUGAAAAGCUUGAUUAUAACUCAUGCUUGUUCCAAUUUCCCCUAGCCUAACCAAACUGGGGUUAACACUAGUGUCUUUGGUUUCUAUGCCUGAUUAAUUGACGUAUUCAAUUAAUCGAGCGUGAAAACUACAAAUGUUAUGUGUUGAACCGGGUUUAGUUAGGUUGUUGAAGAUCGAAUCAAACCAAUCAACCAUUAACAUGUUUUUGUGGGUUUUGUUGUAAUUGGGUAGCGGCGGCUAUAUAACCAUAGAGAUGGAAUCCACAUAUGUUGAUUUUUUUGUCUCGCCAUUCUACUAAUUCCAUCUCACAUAUUCUUAUUUGUUAGUAUCUGCUUAUUUAAAUUUAAUUGUGUUUAUGUAUUGUUUAUUUUGACAGAUAAUUAAGGGUUUUGUUAUAAUAAGGAAGAAGACAUAAAGUAGUAUGCAAUAUGCAUAUGGAUACUGUGUUUGGAAUCAAGUUGCUGUAUUUGCACUUUUUUUUCUCUUUUAAUAAUUUGAUAAAGGUUAUGAACUUUCACACACUUGUAUGUUAAUCAAUACUGAGGUAUGUGUGGAUGGUAUGGAAUUGCAUGUUUUUUAGGAAUAGAAUUGCAUGUUAUGUAUUGAUCCUAAUAAUUUGGUGAGACUUGAUGGCAUUGAUAAGCCGUUACAGUGUGAACUCGGAGUAAUAAUUAGCCGGAGCAUACGUGCAACUCUGAAAGUGCCAAGCUUCAAAAAUGUUUUUACCUAAUUUCUUGAGAUUUGAAUGCAUCCACCAUCUCCUACAUUUACCUCUUUGUUUACAUUUGUUGAAUCAGUUCAAAUUGGGAAGUAAACAUUGAAUUGAAACAUUUGUUGAUGCUCAAUUAAACCUCUUCAGUUGCCCCCUUCAAUUCAAUAUUUUUGAAGUUAUAUAAGUAAGUUAUCACAUAUAUGUGUUCACCGAUUUUUCAAUGUAGUACUAGAUAUGAAAUGUGAAUACAGACUAAAUAAAUCUUAGAGUAAAGUGUACAAACCAAAUGAAUCUCGUUUCUCAGUAUUAUAACUUAUAGUUUAGGCCUCAAUUAGUUUUGCUUAGAGUUGAAUCUCUAGAAUGGACCAAGUCAAAAUAGGUUUUGGCUGAUGUGAGAACCGAAGUUGGAUAUCUUUAUUUGUCUUCGAUUUGUUUUCAGAUUCUUUUUUUGCUUGUCACCUGUAUGCAGCAACUAUGGUUACAGUACAAGAAUUGUUUGUUGUGCAGAAUUUAACCAAUGUAUUCUUUUUAUAAUCUGCAAGCAAGAAGUAGUUUAUAUUGAUAGCAAGUUUUACAUGGGCACAUGAUUUAUUGUUCAUUAUAAGUGUGGGUUAGAUUCAUUGUUCAUUGCUUUCAGCUGUUUUGCUUGCUGAAGGUAGAAAAAUGGGGCGAUGAUUACAAUGAGAGAGGUCUGUAGUGGGAAACACCCAAUUUAAUCGGAAAAUCAUAAUCCAACUUCUAUCAGAGUUAGGAUUCUCUCCAUUUAUCAGUAUCAACAAAAACAUGAAAAGAAAAAGAAAAAGAAAAUAAUGAAGGUUAGAACUUGAAGGUGCCGCCAUACCCAUACCCUUUUCACCAAAGGGGUUUGGCUUUGGCAUCUCAUAUUCUAUCUUCCUCUUCUUUCUCCUCUUCCUCUUUCUCUUACAGUCCCAUCAAAUUGAAUUGGGUUUUUUACCGCAGUGACAGAUUUCAUAAUUUACACUUGAUAUGAGCCCCUCAACCUUCUGACUUUCCAUUAUUAUGAUUAAUAACUUAUUUGUUUUUAAAUUUUUUUUGUUCAUAGUUGUAGCGUUUUUUUUUGCACUGAUUUUAUUUUGGAUGGGGAAACACUUGCAUGUUGUUUUCUCGUUGAAGAUUCAGCGCUGACAGAAAAAGCUUGAUUGUAGUAGCUACUGCUUGUUUUCUGGUGAACAUGUUUUUCCGAAACAAUAUGGUGGAUUUGUUGUAAUUGGGCAUUGGCCAGACAACCGUAGAGAUGGAAUCCACAGAUGUUGAGUUUUUUUUUGUCUCACCAUUCUACUAAUUCCAUCUCACAAUUUUUCUUAUUUGGUAUCUCCUAAUUAAAUUUAAUUGUUCAUUUUGAUGUAAUUACUAUUAUUUUGACAUAAACCUUUGCGGUUUUAUAAUGAGUUAAUUAGGAAGAAGACAUGAAGUAGAAUGAUAUGGGUACUACUGUGGUUGGGAUCUAAAUGAUGCAUUUGCAAGCUUUUUCUUUCUUUCUUUUAAUUUAUUUGAUUUGAUAUAAAUUAAGAGCUUUUUCUCUUAUGUGUUAAUCAAUACAAGAGGAAGGUAUGCGCGGAUGGGAUAGAAUGUUAGUAUUUGAUAAUGAGAAUUUGGCGAGACUUGAUGACACUGUAUACUGUGUUUGUGGCUUGUUAUAUUUAUUUAAUAAUAUAAGUUGUUUACCGAGGUACAUGAAGUAGUAACCUGCCAGAGCAUAUAUUGCAAUGGUGAUAGUCUCUGCUUAAGAAAUGUUUAUGCGGAAUAAUGUCUUGAAAGUUGAAUGCAUCAACCAUCCUACAUUGACCUUUUUGUUUACAUUUCUUGAUCUUUCCCUAAUAGAAAUGUGUGAUGCUGUAUAAGUGUGAGUUGUAUUCUUCUACCAAGGCUUUUAGGGUUUCACCAGUUUUGCUGAGCCUAAAGAUUAGGACAGUGAAUAGAAUGAGAAAGUUGUUUACCUGUUAUUGAAAGUGUAGCAACUUCAAUGGUUUCAAUGCAGCUGAUAUGAAUACUUAAUAUUAAUCAAUGUUCUUGAGAAUGGAAAGGCAAUGGUAUAGAAAUGCAUGAUAAGCAAUGUUCCUAAGAAUUUGGUGAGACAUUGAUGAGUCUUUACAGCUGUUUUGCUAGUCACCCUUGUACAGAAACUAUGGUUACAUGAAUAGUUGGUUGUUUGAUUGAGAAUUGGAGUGUUUCAUGUAAAUGUGUCGCUGGCUUGCUUUUAUUGUGUGGAACUUACUGUUGCUGUAAUUAAUCUUCAUCGUACGAACAAUGCUAGUGCCAGCGUUAUUUUUUAUAUUUUUUUGUAGGGAAAUUCGGAAAUGGUUUUGCAAUCUUUUGUUAAAAAAGUAAAAUGAUAAAAGGAGGAUGAAGGUGGAGUGAGAGCUGCAAACUUGUGUUGAUUGUGGGAAUACUACAUAAAAGACCCAGCAUGACAUCAAUUCCAAUUUGUCACAAUUGAUGGCAAAAAGAGGAAAAAUGGUGGGUUUGUUGUAAUUGGGCAGCGGCCAGACAACCGUAGAGAUGGAAUCCACAGAUCUUGAGUUUUUUCUCUCUUACUUCUACUAAUUCCAUCUCACCUUUACUUAUGAUUAACUGUUAAUUUUAAUUUAUUGGUUUAUUUUGAUGUAACUUUUACUGUUGACAUAAAUUUUGGGGUUUUAUGACGAGGAAGAAGACAUAAAGCAGUAUGCAUUGACCUUUUUUUCUACAUUUGUUGUUUAAGUUUAAGCUUCAAUUAGUUGCUCUUUAAACUCAUUCAUCCGUAGAUAGCAAGGAAGGAGUAAUUGAAGUGGAUACCUUCAUUUGUCUCUGAUUGACUUUUUUGGAGACAAUCAUGUUUCAGAUGAAAUUUUUUAGGUUGCUUGUCACCCUGAUGCCGCAACUAUGGUUACAGUAUAGGAAUAGUUUGUUGUGUAGAGCUAAACUUGAAUCAUGUCUCUUUCAUUCAAAUCAUCAUAACCAAUGUAUUCUUUAAAACAUAUAUAUUUGUAAUGUCAUCCCCAAACACCAAAUUGUGUUUAUUGAAUUCAUAUAUAUGUACAAAUAUGCUCUUCCUGCUUCACACAAAACCAAAGCUUGUGCAACCAAUGUUUCACUCU